UACGUAGGGUGCGAGCGUUAAUCGGAAUUACUGGGCGUAAAGGGCUCGUAGGCGGCCAACUAAGUCAGACGUGAAAUCCCUCGGCUUAACCGGGGAACUGCAUCUGAUACUGGAUGGCUUGAGAUUGGGAGAGGGAUGCGGAAUUCCAGGUGUAGCGGUGAAAUGCGUAGAUAUCUGGAGGAACACCGGUGGCGAAGGCGGCAUUCUGGACCGAAACUGACGCUGAGGCGCGAAAGCCAGGGGAGCAAACGGG
rnacentral:rRNA from 1 species